GGAAUUAAACACUUCAGCAGCUAAAAUUGGAACACAAAAGAUUAGCAUGGCCUCUGCACAAGGUUGAUACCCAAAUUUGUGAGCAGUCAUAUUUUUUU
rnacentral:snRNA from 1 species